CCUACGGGAGGCAGCAGUAGGGAAUCUUUCACAAUGGGCGAAAGCCUGAUGGAGCAACGCCGCGUGCAGGAUGCAGGCCUUCGGGUUGUAAACUGCUUUUAUAAGCGAGAAAUAUGAUGGUAACUUAUGAAUAAGGAUCGGCUAACUACGUGCCAGCAGCCGCGGUCAUACGUAGGAUCCGAGCAUUAUCCGGAGUGACUGGGUGUAAAGAGUUGCGUAGGUGGCAUAAUAAGUAGCUAGUGAAAUCUGGUGGCUCAACCAUUCAGACUAUUAGCUAAACUGUUAAGCUCGAGACCGUUAGGGGUAACUGGAAUUUCUAGUGUAGGAGUGAAAUCCGUAGAUAUUAGAAGGAACACCAAUAGCGUAGGCAGGUUGCUGGGACGGUUCUGACACUAAGGCACGAAAGCGUAGGGAGCAAACGGGAUUAGAUACCCGUGUAGUC
rnacentral:rRNA from 1 species